UUGCUAUCUGCGAUAUGGAAGAUUCGAACCUGCCGCAGGUGCGGGUCUCACGCAGUGAGACAACGGAGCCGCUUGCGGCGACGGCCCGAAGGGCGAGCAAAGCGAGUCAUCCUGCACGACCCACCA
rnacentral:sRNA from 1 species